UGCAGAAUCCCGUGAACCAUCGAGUUUUUGAACGCAAGUUGCGCCCCAAGCCUUCGGGCCGAGGGCACGCUUGCCUGGGCGUCACGC
rnacentral:rRNA from 1 species